GACAGAGGUGCCGAGCGUUAGGCGGAAUCACUGGGCUUAAAGCGUGUGUAGGCGGGCCGUUAAGUGUCUUGUGAAAUCCCCCGGCUCAACCGGGGAAUUGCUGGGCAUACUGGCGGUCUUGAGCGAUCUAGGGGCAGAUGGAACAAGUGGUGGAGCGGUGAAAUGCGUAGAUAUCGCUUGGAACGCCAAAGGUGAAGACAGUCUGCUGGGGAUCUGCUGACGCUGAGACACGAAAGCCAGGGGAGCGAACGGG
rnacentral:rRNA from 1 species